AUGCGAAUAAUUCUCGCCUGUUUGGUCUGUUUAGUGAUCUAAUCAGGGCUAGACAUUCGCUAGAGUAAAAACCUUCAGAGUGUCCACAGAUGAGGUUUUCUACUUCUCUCUGUUUUCCUCCACUGUUGGUGACAGCU
rnacentral:snoRNA from 1 species